rnacentral:rRNA from 1 species
UACAGAGGUCUCAAGCGUUGUUCGGAUUCAUUGGGCGUAAAGGGUGCGUAGGUGGUGGGGUAAGUCAGACGUGAAAUCCCUCGGCUCAACCGGGGAACUGCGUCUGAUACUGGGUGGCUUGAAUCCGGGAGAGGGAUGCGGAAUUCCAGGUGUAGCGGUGAAAUGCGUAGAUAUCUGGAGGAACACCGGUGGCGAAGGCGGCAUCCUGGACCGGCAUUGACGCUGAGGCGCGAAAGCCAGGGGAGCAAACGGG